rnacentral:tRNA from 1 species
GGGGUGUUAGCUCAGUUGGUAGAGCAGCUGACUCUUAAUCUGCUGGUCGAGUGUUCAAAUCACUCACACCCUA